UACGGAGGAUGCGAGCGUUAUCCGGAUUUAUUGGGUUUAAAGGGUGCGUAGGCGGCGAGUUAAGUCAGCGGUAAAAGCCCGGGGCUCAACCCCGGCGAGCCGUUGAAACUGUGUGGCUGGAGACGGAGAGAAGUAGGCGGAAUGCGCGGUGUAGCGGUGAAAUGCAUAGAUAUCGCGCAGAACUCCGAUUGCGAAGGCAGCCUACCGGCUCCGGUCUGACGCUGAGGCACGAAAGCGUGGGUAUCGAACAGG
rnacentral:misc_RNA from 1 species